CUGGCGCCAUUGUGUUUCCUUUACUCUUCGCUCCUCCAGUGGGCGCCUGCUUAAUCGGAGGCCCCAGCGGCGAUGAGAGGUGACGCUAGGCGUCCUCUGGCCUUGGGCAUUUGCGGAGGGCGGGGCUCUUUUCAUCCUCCCGCUUAUUUUUGCGUUGUCGGCUCGCGGUAGUGGGAAUCGGCGGCUUCUGGGCCUAGUUGAACUUUUCUCAUUUCGGCCUUCCCACUAUUAUUUAGAGCGUUUUAAUUGUUUAGGAAUGGUGUCAAUGUGUUUUUCGGAAAGGGGGUGAGGCCUGAAGAGUAACGCAAUGGUGACGAAGGUUUUACUUAUUAACUGGAAAGAGGAUUCAUCUUAGUUAUUGGCCUGCUUUUCAUUCAUUGUUUGUUGGGGAGAUGAAUUUUUCCCGGUCUGGCAUUUCUCUAGACCCCUCCCCCCGCCAUAAGUUACCCAAGGCCUUUAAACGCCAGAAGGCGGUUACUGAGGAGUGGGAGGCUGGAGUGCUGGGGAGAGCUCUUCUGUCAGAAACUAGUAUUUCUUUUCCUCUCCUGUUCCUCGAGCCUCCACUCUCCCCUGUCUUAUUCUGUGUGAACCCAGCCGGAGACGCCUCCCCUUCUCCCCCUGCCGGCCCAGUUAUGGCAGAGAACGAUGUGGACAAUGAGCUCUUGGAUUAUGAAGACGAUGAGGUGGAGACAGCAGCUGGGGGAGAUGGGGCUGAGGCCCCUGCCAAGAAGGAUGUCAAGGGCUCCUAUGUCUCCAUCCACAGCUCUGGCUUUCGUGACUUCCUGCUCAAGCCAGAGUUGCUCCGGGCCAUUGUUGACUGUGGCUUUGAGCAUCCAUCAGAAGUUCAGCAUGAAUGCAUCCCUCAGGCCAUCCUGGGAAUGGAUGUCCUAUGCCAGGCCAAGUCAGGCAUGGGGAAGACAGCGGUGUUUGUGCUGGCUACACUGCAACAGCUGGAGCCAGUUACUGGGCAGGUGUCUGUACUGGUGAUGUGUCACACUCGGGAGUUGGCUUUUCAGAUCAGCAAGGAGUAUGAGCGCUUCUCUAAAUACAUGCCCAAUGUCAAGGUCGCAGUGUUUUUUGGUGGUCUGUCUAUCAAGAAGGAUGAAGAGGUGCUGAAGAAGAACUGCCCGCAUAUUGUCGUGGGGACCCCUGGCCGCAUCCUAGCCCUGGCUCGAAAUAAGAGCCUCAACCUCAAACACAUUAAACACUUUAUCUUGGAUGAAUGUGACAAGAUGCUUGAACAACUCGACAUGCGUCGGGAUGUCCAGGAAAUUUUUCGCAUGACCCCCCACGAGAAGCAGGUCAUGAUGUUCAGUGCUACCUUGAGCAAAGAGAUUCGUCCAGUCUGCCGCAAGUUCAUGCAAGACGUAAAUACCCUUCUACCUUCUCUCCCUCCACUCCCCGCCCGCUGCCUCCUCCCCUUCCGCGCCCUCUUCCUCCAGACUCCCUUGUCCUUCAGUCGCCAAGAAGGGGGCAUGUGCCCAUGUGAGAGGGCUGACUCCUUGAAGAGACACACAGAGGCAGAGACAGUUAGUGUUAGGGUCUGCGCGGCGCCAGGGAAACUCCGGAAGACUUGGUCGGGUUAAUGUGAGAGCGGGUAGCGUUCGACUUUUUUUUUUUUUUCCAAUCACAGCAUUUUUGAACCUCUUCUCCCUCUUGGGGGAGGGCAGGAUUUUCUGCCCUACCACCCACCCAUCGUCUCCUACAUACCCCCUACAGCCACGCACCCUCAAGGUGGCAUCGAGCAUACAGCCGGAGCCUUCUGCUCCCCAAACUCGUAACCUCCCGGUGGCAGGAGAGCAAGAGAGGGACAGACAGUUGGCAGGGCCUGUCCAAAAGAAGAGCGAACAGCGCAAAUGAAUCCACUCCCUCCCCACCUCCAGGGGUGGGGGCCUUUGGCACCUCAGUCCCCGAGUCCCUACUCCUUCCCAUCCGUACCUCCUCGCACCCGUCCGGAACCUCGGUCGAUGUGAGCCGGCAGCAGAGAAGCAUCGUGGCGCGGCGGGGGAAUGCGACGGCACCGGCGGUGGAUGGCGGCAGCGGAAGCCGCGGGGAACCUGACCAGGAAGCUGAGGACCAAACCAGCCUCUUUUUCCGUUCCCGGUUUUUUUCCUGAACCCAAGGCGUGCCGUGCUCCUUGUUUCCCUCCAUUUGUGUUUGGGGGUGGGGGGUGUUCUGAAUGGGGUGGUAGAUUUUUUUUUUUUUUCUUUUUUUUAAACAUUUUUUUAAUACUGAGAGGGAUAUGGGAAAGGUAAAGUGAGGAGCUCCACUUGGAUGUGACCAGGUGGGUGUUAGGGUCUGGGACUAAGUGGGUCAGCUGUAGAAGCAGUGGAGUGUGCUCUUUCCCUCCCUGCUCUGCUCUCCCUGUGGGACGAUAACUCACUGUUUAGCUAUAUUUGGGGCUCAAGUUAGAUUUGAAGGAGGCCAUGGAGCUUCUCUUUGGAAAGACUGCCUUUGCUAGUCUGCCUUUGGGGAUUGGGCUUCUGGUGUUCUCCCAUGACAUAUCCUUUCCUGAAAUCUUAAACCCUGGAUCCUUCAUGUUAAGCCAUGUCCCCAAGUUAGGAGUGCUAGGAAAGUUGGGCUUUAGAGUUGAAUCUUGUGUUGGUUCCCACCUUUUUUUAUGCUAUCUUCCUUCCCUUUAAGGGUUGUGUGGUUUUUUGGGUUUUUUUUUUUAAGAUGAGUAACUGCUGCUCUGAAUUUGACUUCUUAGCACCACUUACUGAUACCUUCCAUAUGACACUGUAGUUGGUUUGAUUCUUAGUUCAAAGACCAGUCUUGUCUAAAAGUACAACUUUGUGGUCUGAGGGCAGGUUGUUACUCAUCUUACGUGAUUUUUGUCUUUUUGUGGCAUUUUGAUUUACAUCCAUUGAAACAUUCCGAUCUUUAAGAUGCCCACCUUUCUAAUGAGGAUAUGAUUCUCCUAGUGUAGAGAUUACUCAAAUGGAGCAGUCCUUAUCCUCUCUCCCAUAUUAUGACCAGCUUGGAUAGAGUUACUCAGACCUUGAGUCGCUGUUUCCCAUCAUUUCCCAGGUGUUUGGUUCAUGUUGUCUUCUGAAAAUCACUUCCCAUUGUUUUCUUUCCUCCACCACCUCCAUUUGAGGUAAUGGCACCUUGCCAUUGGGUGGUUACGCUGUGCCUUUUCCUCCCUGCAGAGUUCCUUUCCCAUGACACUUUUCAGUUGGGCCGUCUUAAAACUCAACUGAUGGGGAGGAAAUUAACUUAAUUUGGGAAAGACCACAUUAAAAUAGGUAUUUUUGGGGGUGGGGUUGGGUUUUCAAUCUUCUCUCUCCUCCCCAUCCCCCCAUGGGGUGUAUUGGAGAUCAACUUCCUCCACCCCCCCAGGUUUAACCCCCCCACUCUGCCCUCCUCCCGUUCCCCACCCCCUCCCUCCCCCCUCCCCCCAGCCAAUGGAGAUCUUCGUGGAUGAUGAGACGAAGCUGACGCUGCAUGGGUUGCAGCAGUACUACGUGAAACUGAAGGACAACGAGAAGAACCGGAAGCUCUUUGAUCUUCUGGAUGUCCUUGAGUUCAACCAGAAUAUCUGUCUGCUCAGGAAAAAUCAGAGGCGAGAGGGAAAGGCUAAGUUAUAUUUAGAGCAGAAGAGGAAAUAUGUGAUGAGGACUAAGAGGAAUUCUUUUAGAGAACUUGCACAUAAUCUCUGUCACUCAUCCCCUCACGGAUGCGCGUCUCCCCCCAGUCUCUCACAUACACACACAUGCGCGCACACAGGUGGUGAUAUUUGUGAAGUCUGUGCAGCGCUGCAUUGCCCUGGCCCAGCUCCUGGUGGAGCAGAACUUCCCAGCCAUUGCCAUCCACCGUGGGAUGCCCCAGGAGGAGAGGCUUUCUCGGUAUCAGCAGUUUAAAGAUUUUCAACGACGAAUUCUUGUGGCUACCAACCUGUUUGGCCGAGGCAUGGACAUCGAGCGGGUGAACAUUGCCUUCAACUACGACAUGCCUGAGGAUUCUGACACCUACUUGCAUCGGGUGGCCAGAGCCGGCCGAUUUGGCACCAAGGGCUUGGCCAUCACAUUUGUGUCAGAUGAGAAUGAUGCCAAGAUCCUCAAUGACGUGCAGGAUCGCUUUGAAGUCAAUAUUAGUGAGCUGCCUGACGAGAUAGACAUUUCCUCCUACAUUGAACAGACGCGGUAGAGGACUCACCCACCAUUCGGGAAUGAGAAAGUCUAUCCCUCUGCAGGAGAUGACACCAAGCAUGGGGGUGAAGGAGACACUACUGCCACCUACCCCUGACAACCCCUAACCCCCAACCCAUGGCUUCCCUCUUUUGCAUCACCACCACUCCUAAACCCCCAUUUCCCGAUUUGUCAGAAAUUUUUUUAACAAAACUAAAAAACACAA